rnacentral:misc_RNA from 1 species
CAUUUCAAAUUCGAAAUUUCAUUCGGAAAAAUAGGAAUUUUCGCCCUCCUAAAAAUAUAAGUUCCCGGAGCCCCUGACUUUACGUUUUGUAGUUACGUUGCUGGCGUGAUCUUGGCGUGAGAAUAGCUUUGGCGCUCCCUACUCUUGAGUUACCGCCGCAAAUUCGUAGGUGAACGUAACACCAGCGGCCGGUGAGAUAGUUGUUCCAUUAUUUCGAAAUAUCGAAUCGAAGUGAAAUUCACUUUGUUGUUGACUUGCUUCGCCGACCGGUAGAAAUGAGUCGUCGCUCUACCGGCAUCUCUUCGCCUCGGGCCGGCAGCGCUGGCGAACGGUCUCGUCUCAGUCCCACGCGUAUAACAAGAGUUCAAGAGAAAGAAGAAUUGCAAAGUUUAAAUGACCGUUUGGCCACUUAUAUAGAUACCGUCCGAAAUCUUGAAAGCGAAAACAAUAGAUUAAGCACACUUAUUCAAACAACCCAAGAAACGACUCAAAAGGCCGUCGUUGAAGUAAAAACUGUUUAUGACAAAGAAUUAACUGAUGUUCGUCAACUGUUGGAUUAUACAGCAAAGGAGAAAGCUAAAUUACAGAUUUCAAAUGAGAAGCUCAAGUCAGAAGUGGAUGAACUGAAAACGAAAUUAUUUAAGAAAGAGAAAGAGCUGACAAAUGCAGAGAAACAAAUCAAAUCAUGUGAUAUUUUGGUUCAAGAUUUGCAAAGAAGAGUGUCAACUUUAACAUCGGAAAACAGAAGAUGUACAAAUCAAUGUAGAGAUUUAGAGAGUACAAUCAAGACAUUGUCUCAACAAGUUUCUUCCUUAAAGAAAGAUUUGGAUGAUGAAACUUUAACUCGUGUGGAUUUCCAAAACAGAUAUCAGAGUUCUAAAGAAGAGUUGGCAUUUAAAGAAUCCGUCCAUCAAAAGGAGAUUAGUGAAACUAAGCACUUGAAAGAGACUGCAAUUUUGGAGUUAAAUUCUAAGUUAACUGAAAGUUAUGAACAGAAGCUUGCAGAUUCUUUAAAAGAAUUACGGGAACAAUAUGAAACUCAGCUGCAUAUUAACAGAGAUGAGAUUGAAGCUUUGUAUGAAUCAAAGAUUGCAGAUCUACAAAAAAAACUUGAUCGCUACACAGAAUCUUCUACAUCUUACAGAGAUGAACUCAGGACUUAUAAGACUAAAGUGGAUAGUCUUAAUUCAAAGAAUGCUAAUUUGGAAGCCACCAAUUCAUCUUUGUUGCACAGAAUCAAAGAUUUAGAAAAGAUGCUUGAACAAGAAAGAGAAUGGCAUAAAGAAGCUUUAAAUUCAAAAGAUGAAGAGCUCAAAAAUCUUCGUUCAGAAAUGGAGCGUCAACUUGUCGAAUAUCGUGAUCUUUUGGACAUUAAAGUAGCCUUAGAUUUAGAAAUAGCUGCUUAUCGAAAGCUACUCGAAGGGGAAGAAAUAAGGCUUAAUAUUAGCCCUACAAACUCACGGGGCAGCAGUCCAUCCCCUCUUCAGCCUAGGUCCAAUCCCAUGAGGGGUGUCAAACGCAGGCGAAUGUUUGCCGAAUCUGAAAAGUCAGAUGUUCAAACAUCGUCUGGUGAUAUUGAAAUUUCUGAUCAUGACGUCAAUGGAAAAUUUGUAAAAAUUCAUAACAAAGGAAAGCAGGAGUUGUCUCUGGGUAGUUGGCAGUUGGUUCAAAAAAGUGAAGGAGCUGAAGUGACGUAUAAAUUUCCAAGAGCAGCUGUCAUUAAACCCAAUACCACCGUCACUGUGUGGAGUUCUGAUAGUGGCACUUCUCCAAGUCCCCCAAAAGAUUUAGUCAUGAAAAAUCAAUCUUGGUGUUUAUCUGAUUCUCUUCUUACAACUCUUGUGAACAGCAGUGGGGAAAGUGUGGCCUCAAGAGAAUCAUCCAAACUGUAUGAAAGCUCAGAAGUUUUUGCUGUGGAUGAAGACUAAGGAAGCUGUUAUGAAUGAUGAGCUUAAUUGUUUUCUACAGAUCCAAUGACGUGCAUUUGAAAGAUGAAAAGCAACCCUGACGAUGAUAAUUACUUUAAGCCUCAAGUUUAUUAUCUUAGUGUGUUACACUGAUAUAAAUUUGACUGCUCACCGAAUCAGCAUGUGUAUGAAAUGAAUGUGUCAGGUUCGAAUAGAAAAAGUGCCUUCAGAACGGAGUCUCUCUAGCAACUCUUAUUUGACAUUAUAAGCAAAUUUCAUUCAGAUUUUUUUAAGAGCUAUUUUUGUUAUUUUUCAUUAAUUUAUGAUAAUCAUAUGCUUUUGCUUAUCUGCUGGUUAGAGGGCAGAUUUUAUGGUGCUUUGUUAACAUUACGGGUAUAUAAUGUGAAAAAACUGUUUGUCUUUUGCAGAAAGAGUGUUGUUCCUCAUAUAAUUUAUACAUAUUGUUAAUUUAUCGAAUCUAAUACUAAUACUGUUAGGAUAUAAUUAUUUAUGAAUGUUAUGUAAACACAAGAACAAAAGUUUAAUUCCUGUUCUCUUUUUAAUUUGUUACUCUACUGGUGCAAUGUUUAUUUAAAUUUUUGUUAUGAUGGAAUGUGCAUUAUAUUCAUUGAAUAUUUAUUUCUUGUAUGCUUAAAUAUUGCAUUUUAGUAGCUUUUCAUUUAAGUACAUUGUUUCGAAAAUAAAAUUAAAUUUUGUGAAAUUAAA